rnacentral:tRNA from 2 species
GAUUAAAUGGCUGAAUAAAAGUAAUAAAUUGUAAAUUUAUGAAUGAAAUAAAAAAAUUUCUUUAAUCA